rnacentral:rRNA from 1 species
CAGCACCUCAAGUGGUCAGGAUGAUUAUUGGGCCUAAAGCAUCCGUAGCCGGCGCUGUAAGUUUUCGGUUAAAUCUGUACGCUCAACGUACAGGCUGCCGGGAAUACUGCAGCGCUAGGGAGUGGGAGAGGUAGACGGUACUCGGUAGGAAGGGGUAAAAUCCUUUGAUCUAUUGAUGACCACCUGUGGCGAAGGCGGUCUACCAGAACACGUCCGACGGUGAGGGGUGAAAGCUGGGGGAGCAAACCGGAUUAGAGACCCGCGUAGUCC